rnacentral:rRNA from 1 species
CGGGUACUAACUGCAGUCGAACGAACUCUGGUAUUGAUUGGUGCGUGCAUCAUGAUUUACAUUUGAGUGAGUGGCGAACUGGUGAGUAACACGUGGGAAACCUGCCCAGAAAUGGGGGAUAACACCUGGAACCAGAUGCUAAUACCGCACAACAACUUGGACCUCUGGUUCCGAGGGUGAUUUAUGGCGUCGGCUAUCACUGUUGCAUGGUCCCGCGGCGUAUUAGCUAGAUGGUGGGGUAACGGCUCACCAUGGGCAUGAUACACCUGCGACCUGAAACGGUAAUCUGGCACAUUGGGACUGACACACGGUCCAAACUCCUACGGGAGGCAGCAAUCUGGAAUCUUCCACAAUGGACGAAAGUCUGAUGGACCAACGCCGCGUGAGUGAUUACGGGUCUCGGCUCUCAGAACUCUGUUGUUAACGAAGAACAUAUCUGAUAGUAACUGUUCAGGUAUUGACGGUAUUUAACCAGAAAGCCACUACUAACUACGUGCCAGCAGCCGCGGUAAUACGUAGGUGGCAAGCGUUGUCCGGAUUUAUUGGGCGUAAAGCGAGCGUUUCUUGUUUUUUAUGUCUGAUGUGAAAGCCUUCGGCUCAACGAAGAUGUGCAUCUGGAAACUGGGAAACUUGAAUGCAGAAGAGGACAGUCGGAACUCCAUGUGUAAAAUGCGAAAUGCUUAGAUAUAUGGAAGAACACCAAUGGCGGCUCUCGGCUGUCUGGUCUGUAACUGACGCUCGAAGCUCGAAAGUAUGGGUAGCAAACAGAUACCCUAUACCCUGGUACUCCAUACCGAUAAACGAUGAAUGCUAAGUGUUGGACGGUUUCCGCCCUUCAGUGCUGCAGCUAACGCAUUAAGCAUUCGGCCUGGGGAGUACGACCUCAAGGCUUGAAAGCUCAUAGAGAAUUGAC